GACGAACCGUGCGAACGUUGUUCGGAAUCACUGGGCUUAAAGGGUGCGUAGGCGGAAUGUCAAGUCUGUGGUGAAAUCCCCCGGCUCAACCGGGGAACUGCCGUGGAUACUGGUGUUCUCGAGGGGUGUAGGGGCAUGCGGAACUUCGGGUGGAGCGGUGAAGUGCGUAGAUAUCCGAAGGAACGCCGGUGGCGAAAGCGGCGUGCUGGACACCUUCGUGACGCUGAGGCACGAAAGCCAGGGGAGGCAAACGGG
rnacentral:rRNA from 1 species